rnacentral:snRNA from 1 species
AUAUUUGUGAGUACAUCCGAUAAAAUUGGAACGAUACAGAGAAGAUUAGCAUGGCCCCUGCGCAAGGAUGACCUAUGCCAAUAGAAACUUACACUGGACAG